AUUGAACGCUGGCGGCAGGCCUAACACAUGCAAGUCGAGCGGCAGCGGGAAAGUAGCUUGCUACUUGCGAAGGAGAGCGGCGGACGGGUGAGUAAUGCCUGGGAAAUUGCCCAGGAGAGGGGGAUAACAGUUGGAAACGACUGCGAACACGGCAUACGCCCUACGGGGGAAAGCAGGGGACACGAGGGCCUUGCGCGAUUGGAUAUGCCCAGGUGGGAUUAGCUAGUUGGUGAGGUAAUGGCUCACCAAGGCGCCGAUCCCUAGCUGGUCUGAGAGGAGGAUCAGCCACAGUGGAACUGAGACACGGCCCAGACUCCUGCGGGAGGCAGCAGUGGGGAAUAUUGCACAAUGGGCGCAAGCCUGAUGCCGCAACCCCGCGUGAGGGACGACGGCCUUCGGGUUGUAAAGCACUUUCAGCGAGGAGGAAAGGUGGGCGCCUACUACGUGUCAACUGUGACGUUACUCGCAGAAGAAGCACCGGCUAACUCCGUGCCCCCAGCCGCCGUAAUAC
rnacentral:rRNA from 1 species